rnacentral:rRNA from 1 species
GUGGGGAAUUAUGCACAAUGGGCGAAAGCCUGAUGCUGCAACGCUGCGUGAAGGAUGAAGGUUUUCGGAUCGUAAACUUCUUUUAUCAGGGAAUAAUCUUGAAGGUACCUGAUGAAUAAGCACCGGCUAACUACGUGCCAGCAGCCGCGGUAAUACGUAGGGUGCAAACAUUACCCGGAUUUAUUGGGCGUAAAGAGUUCGUAGGCGGUUUUGUAAGUUGGAUAUUAAAUACUUCGGCUCAACCGAAGGACAGUAUUCAAAACUGCAUAACUUGAGGCAUGCAGGGGAAGAUGGAACUUGUGGUGUAGCAGUGAAAUGCGUAGAUAUCACAAGGAACGCCAAUGGUGAAGACAGUCUUCUGGGCAUAGCCUGACGCUGAGGAACGAAAGCGUGGGGAGCGAACGGGAUUAGAUACCCCUGUAGUCC